UGGGGAAUAUUGCACAAUGGGCGCAAGCCUGAUGCAGCCAUGCCGCGUGUGUGAAGAAGGCCUUCGGGUUGUAAAGCACUUUCAGCGGGGAGGAAGGCGGUGAGGUUAAUAACCUCAUCGAUUGACGUUACCCGCAGAAGAAGCACCGGCUAACUCCGUGCCAGCAGCCGCGGUAAUACGGAGGGUGCAAGCGUUAAUCGGAAUUACUGGGCGUAAAGCGCACGCAGGCGGUCUGUCAAGUCGGAUGUGAAAUCCCCGGGCUCAACCUGGGAACUGCAUUCGAAACUGGCAGGCUUGAGUCUCGUAGAGGGGGGUAGAAUUCCAGGUGUAGCGGUGAAAUGCGUAGAGAUCUGGAGGAAUACCGGUGGCGAAGGCGGCCCCCUGGACGAAGACUGACGCUCAGGUGCGAAAGCGUGGGGAGCAAACAGG
rnacentral:rRNA from 1 species